rnacentral:rRNA from 1 species
UACGGGGGGGGCAAGCGUUGUUCGGAAUUACUGGGCGUAAAGGGCUCGUAGGCGGCCAACUAAGUCAGACGUGAAAUCCCUCGGCUUAACCGGGGAACUGCGUCUGAUACUGGAUGGCUUGAGGUUGGGAGAGGGAUGCGGAAUUCCAGGUGUAGCGGUGAAAUGCGUAGAUAUCUGGAGGAACACCGGUGGCGAAGGCGGCAUCCUGGACCAAUUCUGACGCUGAGGAGCGAAAGCCAGGGGAGCAAAGC